rnacentral:piRNA from 1 species
GUUCUCUGAUCGAGGGAAGAUGGCGAUUG